UACGGAGGGUGCAAGCGUUAUCCGGAUUCACUGGGUUUAAAGGGUGUGUAGGCGGGCUAUUAAGUCAGCGGUGAAAUCUCCGGGCUCAACCCGGAAACUGCCAUUGAUACUAUUAGUCUUGAAUAUCGUUGAGGUUGGCGGAAUAUAUCAUGUAGCGGUGAAAUGCAUAGAUAUGAUAUAGAACACCGAUUGCGAAGGCAGCUAACUAAGCGAUGAUUGACGCUGAGGCACGAAAGCCAGGGGAGCAAACGGG
rnacentral:rRNA from 1 species